rnacentral:rRNA from 1 species
UACGUAGGGCGCAAGCGUUAUCCGGAAUUAUUGGGCGUAAAGAGCUCGUAGGCGGUUUGUCGCGUCUGCUGUGAAAGUCCGAGGCUCAACCUCGGAUCUGCAGUGGGGUACGGGGCAGACUAGAGUGUGGUAGGGGGAGACUGGAAUUCCUGGUGUAGCGGUGGAAUGCGCAGAUAUCAGGGAGGAACACCCAAUGGCGAAAGGCAGGGUCUCU